UAGGGAAUAUUGGUCAAUGGGGGCAACCCUGAACCAGCCAUGCCGCGUGCAGGAUGACUGCCCUAUGGGUUGUAAACUGCUUUUGUACGGGAAGAAACCUCACUACGUGUAGUGAGUUGACGGUACCGUGAGAAUAAGGAUCGGCUAACUUCGUGCCAGCAGCCGCGGUAAUACGAAGGAUCCAAGCGUUGUCCGGAUUUACUGGGUUUAAAGGGUGCGUAGGCGGAACAUUAAGUCAGUGGUGAAAGCCUGGGGCUUAACUUCAGAAUUGCCAUUGAAACUGAUGUUCUCGAGUAUGGUUGAGGUUACUGGAAUGUUGCAUGUAGCGGUGAAAUGCUUAGAUAUGCAACAGAACACCAAUUGCGAAGGCAGGUAACUAAGCCAUAACUGACGCUGAGGCACGAAAGCGUGGGGAGCAAACAG
rnacentral:rRNA from 1 species